AAUAAGACCAUUUUUCAGUUUUUAUAUAUUGACUCUUCGUCUUAUUUAAAUUUUUUUACGAUUAAUAUUUUUAUUGUUACUAGAUGAUAAAAUAUAAAUAGUAUUUUAUACGUGAGUAAUUUUUUUAAGCUUUUGUACAAAUUUUUUAAAUAAGACGAAUGGUCUGAACCGAGAUCGAAAAUGACG
rfam:Oryza brachyantha chromosome 2, whole genome shotgun sequence.